rnacentral:rRNA from 1 species
UACGUAGGGGUCGAGCGUUGUCCGGAGUUACUGGGCGUAAAGCGUGCGCAGGCGGCUCAUCGCGCUCGGCGUGAAAGCCCCCGGCUCAACCGGGGAGGGUCGUCGAGGACGGAUGGGCUUGAGGGUAUCAGGGGUUGGUGGAAUUCCCGGUGUAGUGGUGAAAUGCGCAGAUAUCAGGAGGAACACCAAUGGCGAAGGCAGCUCGCUGGGACGUGACUGACGCUGAGACGCGAAAGCGUGGGGAGCAAACAGG